CCUGGGAGGCAGCAGUGGGGAAUAUUGCACAAUGGGCGCAAGCCUGAUGCAGCCAUGCCGCGUGUGUGAAGAAGGCCUUCGGGUUGUAAAGCACUUUCAGCGAGGAGGAAGGUGGUGAACUUAAUACGUUCAUCAAUUGACGUUACUCGCAGAAGAAGCACCGGCUAACGCCGUGCCAGCAGCCGCGGUAAUACGGAGGGUGCAAGCGUUAAUCGGAAUUACUGGGCGUAAAGCGCACGCAGGCGGUUUGUUAAGUCAGAUGUGAAAUCCCCGGGCUCAACCUGGGAACUGCAUUUGAAACUGGCAAGCUAGAGUCUCGUAGAGGGGGGUAGAAUUCCAGGUGUAGCGGUGAAAUGCGUAGAGAUCUGGAGGAAUACCGGUGGCGAAGGCGGCCUCCUGGACGAAGACUGACGCUCAGGUGCGAAAGCGUGGGGAGCAAACAGGAUUAGAUACCCGUGUAGUC
rnacentral:rRNA from 1 species